CGGGAUGCGCAAUUGCAUGGAUACCGAAGCUGGGAAAUAGGUGCGCACUGAUUAUUAUGGGCGGUAUUUAAGGGGCUUGGCCUGGAGGUUGGCACAUGCCUGGUUUCAUUCGGGGAGAACAGUCCUUGUUUCGUCGUGGGAUUUGGCGUGGAAGGCCGAAGGCUAUCGCGUGGUGAGUGCGUUGUGCCUAUCUGGUAGUUUUGGCUGCUUUGAUGACCUUUUUCUGACUGCGUAAUUCGCUUGCUCUGCAGUGUAUCCAAACGGUGCUUUGGUGCCUCGGUUGCCAGAGGGGUUGCGUUGCCCUGUGGGAAGCUGCCAGCUGACUCGUGGGGUGGCUAGCUUUGUGGCAUUGUCUCUGGAUGCUAGCAGCGGAAUGUGGCGCGUUUGUGUUCGGAGCUCACAAUGGAUAGUGGCCUUGUAGAACCAUCUCCAGCCUAACGAUCUGCGGCUACUUGGAGAUUCUGUCCCUCGACCUCCCACGGCUUCGGUGGCUGCUGUUUUGUUUCGAUCCGGCUCACGCUCGGGAUUCGUCAACCCGGCGGGCUCUCGCUACCUUUGAUAAGGGAACGCACACCUGUGACUGCGUGUUUGAGUGCCUCUUGUCCAUGUUGUUAUUUCUGUGGUCCAUGUGUAUAUCAAAGACUCGAAAACACUGAUAAGUCCGUCUCCCAGGACGUGCCUUCUGCCAAUCUUAUUGUGACAUAAGGGAGCGUGAUUUGGGGUGUACUAUUUGUCCCCCCACAUUUAGUAUUUACAUUUAAGCAUUGCCACAAUACUAGUGGCAGGAGUUUGUGCGCCUUACUUACUGUGAAUAAUUGUAUCACUGUCUCUUCUCCUCUCUCUCACCUCUCUCCUCUCUCUCUCUUUCUAUCGGACAGUAGUAACAGUUAAACCUUGCCACAAUACUAGUGGCAGGAGUUUGUGUGCAUUACUGACAGUGAAUAAGUGUAUCACUGUCCUUUCUCUCUCUCACCUCUCUCUCCUUUUCUCUAUUGGACAGUAUUAACAUUUAAGCAUUGCCACAAUACUAGUGGCAGGAGUUUGUGUGCAUUACUUACUGUGAAUAAUUGUACCAUUGUCCUCUCUCUCUCUCCUCUUCUCUCUCGCUCCUCUUUCUCUCUCUUUUGGGACAGGAGACCGACCCCUCAUCCCAGCGUGUGCUGUUGGCGUCCCAGGUGGUGGAAUUCUGCACUUUUCCUUUGCUGUGAGCACAUGGGUGAUUUGAGUUUGAUUAUCUAUCUUAGUGUAGUAAUUGUGUGAUUCCAUUUAUUUACUUUAUUUUGAUUUAUUUCUUUGGUGUGAUUUACUUUCUUUUUAUUGUGUGUUUUGAGUCUCUGUCUUUUCUUUCGCCAACGUGUACCGUUUGGGGCGGGGCCUGCUCCGCUACUCCCCCCUACCGCUUAGCUCUCGUUACCUCUCUCCACGGUCGUGGAUCAGGCCCUAGGGCCCGUGAGCAUUGGGGCAGUGUUGCCCGUGUACUGGGAGUGUGUGUGGGUGUGUAUGCAUGUGUGUGUGUGGGGGAAGAGGGGUCAACUGUGUUGUGGGGUUGUGAUAGUGAUGUACUGUGGACCUUUGUGUGAAAUAAAUAUCCAUUUUGUCGGGGAAGCAUACUUCUCUUGCCUCUGAGUAUCUGUGAACCAGUGUGCCUUACUUAAAGUGUAUCUUCACUAUUCUCCAAGUUAACUUAACUUUUGCUCUGGGGGGAAUAGCCCUCAGGGCUGGCGUAGUCGGGUGUGGGCU